UUUUACUCAAGCAUAUUUUCUAUAUAAAAGGCUGGAGGAGAAGAGAAAUAUCAAUUCAAAAAGUACGUACUCUCUUCACAGGAUUCUUCUCUCUCUCUCUUUAUCUUCCCUGAUAUUUCCUCAUUUGAUCAGAUGAAUUGUCUCCAUUAUCUUCCAAGAUCCUCUGCUCUGCCUAUGCAAAGCUUCAAAUGCCACAAAA